GGGGAAUAUUGCACAAUGGGCGCAAGCCUGAUGCAGCGACGCCGCGUGAGGGAUGACGGCCUUCGGGUUGUAAACCUCUUUCAGCGCAGACGAAGCGCAAGUGACGGUAUGUGCAGAAGAAGGACCGGCCAACUACGUGCCAGCAGCCGCGGUAAUACGUAGGGUCCGAGCGUUGUCCGGAAUUACUGGGCGUAAAGAGCUCGUAGGUGGUUUGUCGCGUUGUUCGUGAAAACUCACAGCUUAACUGUGGGCGUGCGGGCGAUACGGGCAGACUAGAGUACUGCAGGGGAGACUGGAAUUCCUGGUGUAGCGGUGGAAUGCGCAGAUAUCAGGAGGAACACCGGUGGCGAAGGCGGGUCUCUGGGCAGUAACUGACGCUGAGGAGCGAAAGCGUGGGGAGCGAAC
rnacentral:rRNA from 1 species